GGCGGGUCCUCCCACAGCGAGGCCCCUUUCCCCGCCCGCAGCGCCCGGGGCCGCGCCGGCCGCCGGAGCCGCCUCCGCGGCGGGCAGGCAGGGGCGGAGGCAGCCGCGGCGGCGGUAGCGGGAGCGCACGGCUUGGCGGGAAAAAAGCGUUAAGGAAAACUGGUUUGCAAUGGAUGUGUAAAGCAGCAAGGAGUAAGCGGAUUUCAGUCUCUGAAGAGAAGAAACAAAGUACUGACGGAAGCUAACGGACCAAGGAAACAGAGCUGAGGAAAGAUAUCUCUGCUUGUGUAUCAUCCAAGAGUUUGCAAUGGCAAUGCUCUGGAAAUUCAUGAGAGUAGCUAAGUAUUCUAAAACAGCUUUAUCACCAAAAGUAAAGGUAAGAGGAAUUCCCACCCAUUCAAGGCAUUCUUCAUCCAAGUCUGUACCUUCAGAUUUUGCUGUCAACACGCCGUGCUCAAAUACUGUGGAACUGCUUGGUAAAGCUUAUCCUCAGGAUGACUACAGCAAUGUCACAGAGAAAGUUCUUUCCAAGGUAGGGAAGAACUUGCACAACAAAAAGCAUCACCCUUUGUGGCUAAUCAAGGAGCAAGUGAAGGACCACUUUUACAAACAAUAUACAGGACGCCGUGGGACUCCACUCUUUUCUGUCUAUGACGGUCUUUCUCCAGUAGUUACAGUACAGCAGAAUUUUGAUAGCUUGCUUAUUCCUCAGAACCACGCCAGCAGAAGAAAAGAGGAUAACUAUUACUUGAAUCGUGAUCACAUGCUAAGAGCACAUACAUCGGCUCAUCAGUGGGACUUGAUACACUCCGGCCUAGACGCCUUUCUGGCAGUGGGAGAUGUCUACCGCCGUGAUACCAUUGAUAACACCCACUACCCAGUCUUCCAUCAGAUGGAAGGAGUUCGGCUCUUCUCCUGUCAUGAGUUGUUCUCCAACAUUAAAGAUGGUGAAGGCUUACAGCUGUUUGAGCAAGGCCAUCGCACUGCACACAAGCAAGAGUGCCACACCAUGGAGGCAGUGAGGCUGGUGGAGUUCAACCUGAAGCAAGUGCUCACAAAGCUCAUGACUCACAUCUUUGGUGAUGGACUGCAAGUCAGAUGGGUAGACUGCUACUUCCCAUUUACUCACCCUUCCUUUGAGAUGGAGAUCAACUUCCAAGGAGAAUGGCUGGAGGUCCUGGGCUGCGGGGUCAUGGAGCAACAGCUAGUUAACUCAGCUGGUGCUCAGGAUAAAAUUGGCUGGGCAUUUGGCUUGGGUUUGGAGAGGCUGGCCAUGAUCCUGUACGAUAUCCCUGACAUCCGACUGUUCUGGAGUGAAGAUGAACGCUUCUUGAAGCAGUUCAUUGUGCCUCACAUUUGGCAAAAAAUAAAAUUCCAGCCACUCAGCAGAUAUCCACCUUUGAUCAAUGACAUCUCCUUUUGGCUGCCUUCUGAGACAUACUCUAAGAAUGAUUUCUAUGAUUUGGCUCGAACCGUUGGUGGAGACCUGAUAGAAAAGGUUGUCCUACUGGAUGAAUUUACCCAUCCGAAAGUAACAAAAAUUAAGGUCUCUGUACUUAGCCCACGAUGAGAGUUUUGCAGCAGGAGAACAAUGAACAAGAAAAAUGAAGACUGCAGAAGUGGAAGGAGGAAACGAAAGUUGCUUUCAACCGACAGGGCUACAUGAAUUCAGCAGUGGGUGAAUUAGGCUGAGUGUUAUCAGUGAUGACGAAACACAGCAGACUGUGUACAGCUAAGGGUUUUUCCUGCACACAACUCUACCUGGUGCAGUGCAUGUGAAGAAAGCAAGGUAUAGGCCACGGUGAGGAAGGAGGACGUCAGCUGAAACACGUGUCAGGUGGACCAAGUGUGCUACAGGUCCAUUAAAUGACUCACCUGAGGUGAUACAGGAAAUAAGUAAUAGAGGGAAAAACACAAACCAUAUCUCCCAUUUCCAGCUUCAGGACCUUCUUCCAUGGCAUGCAACUCCUGGUACUCAGGUCCUCUAGGAGUAAAGGCCUCGCAAAGCUUUUAUCCGCAUUAAGAACAAAAACUAUUGCCAUGCAAGGCUAAAAGGAAGGUGCAUCUAUUCUGGCGUCCCAUUCCUGACAGUGGUCAACAGAGGAUAAUGUGGAAAUAGUGGACAAAGAAAACAUACAGGGAUGCAACCCCAGGAUCUAACAAAUUGCAGGUUCUGUUGUGUUCCCACCAGUCAUCAGAAAAUAACUUCCCUUUUGCUAUGGAUUCACAACCAGGAGAACAGGAUACUCCAGACCCAAAAGUGUGCCCAGAAAUGAUGUGUCGAUAGCAUUUCUCAUGUAUCUUCUCAGUAAAAUGAGCUCUGGCAAAUUCGGAGGAAGACAACCCUCGUUAAAACAUUGCUCUGGCACUUUGCAGAGGUGGUUCUAAAUGCAUCACACUCUGCCUUAUGCAAUGUUUGUGUGUUUUCCAGGGAUAGGAGGGAAAGCAGUUUGUAUCAAGACCCUUCAAUCAACAAUAAAAAACCUAUUAUACAGCUGGAGUACUUGGCCAGUGUUCUUGAUGCAGAUGACAAGUUAUGAACAGCUGUGUUGCAAUAUCAGAAAUAUAAUCAGACUGUCUGGUGAAGAUGGUUGAGGGGCAGUCGUUUGCAGAAAGUAGGGCAGCCUUGCAUUUGCACAGGAGACUGCUCGCUGCUUUGCAUACGUCGUGAUGCCAAGGAAAAGUCUCCGCUUCACAGGGACGCUGAACCUGGGAGUAGCAUCGCUAGACCCUCUAAAAGGACACCAGACUUAUGAGGCUGUGACUUUGAUUUAGUGAAUUCCUAAUUGUGCAGAAGAGCAGAUUUGUUUUUACACAGAAGCUUUUAAGCUGUGAUGCUGUUUUCAAUUGCUUGUCUGCUGCACAGAAAAAAAAAUAGGGAAGACCAGCAAGUGGGUGUAACAGCUGGGUACCUGGACUUUGGAAGUAUUGGAAAAAAGCUGCCUGCUGCUUCAUUUUCAUCCUAUUGCUGCACAGACUGAAUCUGAAGUUAGGGUUUAAACAGUGAAAUCCCUAGCUUGUGUCAAGUCUGACAGUCUGCUGCAUGCUGUCUUGCUCUGAUACAUCUGAGCUCCCCUCUCCUCACUACCAGUUUCAGAGGCAGAAGAACAGUCCUUGGGAUGCCGCUUCUUUUAAUUUAGGGUGCAGCCUGAUAGUAGGAACACUACUUGCCCUCUGUGUUUGUCAGGGUGCAAAGUUAGUAUGUGGUGGAGUUGAGGCCCCCUGCUCGGAAGCUCCACCUGUGACUGCAGCACAGACUGGCAGGAGCUGAAGAAUAGUUGGAAGCUAUUUCUGUUAUAUCUCCUCAGAAUGAGAUAUAUUUUUAACAGCCUUUCAGCAGUCAGAGCUCACAUCCAGCUCUGUAGCAAGGAUGUAGGAUGGACAGCAAUUUUCCCUGCUAGCAUCUUUCAGUCUCAUUCUGGAGAAGUCUUGUUUUUGGUCCCCAUGUUCAAUUCCCGUUGUGCCUGUUGGGAGUUCACUUUAGGGCAGCCACCUGGGGAGGUAGAUUUUGUGAACAAAUGCUAGAUGUGUAUUUCUCAGAGAAGAGUCAUCUGGGGUUGAGCAUUUGUGGUUGCUCCCCUGAUCUGGGAUGCAGACAUGUCACCUAGAUGUAAAAAGCUCAUACAUUACCCAUCCUGUAAACUUCUGGUCCUUAAGUCUUAGACAAAUUUCUAUUUUUUCCAUUUAUUUUGGUCAAGAUACUGUGUAAAUGAAGCUACACGUUGUUGGUCAUACAAAUAAAAAGAAAGGAUU